rnacentral:tRNA from 1 species
GAGGGUGUAGCUCAGUGGUAGAGCACAGGCAUAGCACGCACAAGGUCCUGGGUGCAAUCCCCAGUACCACCA